UCGGAGCUAACGCGUUAAAUCGACCGCCUGGGGAGUACGGCCGCAAGGUUAAAACUCAAAUGAAUUGACGGGGGCCCGCACAAGCGGUGGAGCAUGUGGUUUAAUUCGAUGCAACGCGAAGAACCUUACCUACUCUUGACAUCCAGAGAAUUUAGCAGAGAUGCUUUAGUGCCUUCGGGAACUCUGAGACAGGUGCUGCAUGGCUGUCGUCAGCUCGUGUUGUGAAAUGUUGGGUUAAGUCCCGCAACGAGCGCAACCCUUAUCCUUUGUUGCCAGCGAUUCGGUCGGGAACUCAAAGGAGACUGCCGGUGAUAAACCGGAGGAAGGUGGGGAUGACGUCAAGUCAUCAUGGCCCUUACGAGUAGGGCUACACACGUGCUACAAUGGCGUAUACAAAGAGAAGCGACCUCGCGAGAGCAAGCGGAACUCAUAAAGUACGUCGUAGUCCAGAUUGGAGUCUGCAACUCGACUCCAUGAAGUCGGAAUCGCUAGUAAUCGUAGAUCAGAAUGCUACGGUGAAUACGUUCCCGGGCCUUGUACACACCGCCCGUCACACCAUGGGAGUGGGUUGCAAAAGAAGUAGGUAGCUUAACCUUCGGGAGGGCGCUUACCACUUUGUGAUUCAUG
rnacentral:rRNA from 1 species